rnacentral:rRNA from 1 species
AACGAACGCUGGCGGCAUGCCUAACACAUGCAAGUCGAACGAGACCUUCGUGUCUAGUGGCGCACGUGUACGUAACGCGUGGUAACUUGCCCUUAGGUUCGCAAUAACUCCCCUAAGGGUGUGCUAAUACCGCAUAAUGUCUUCCGACCAAAGAUUUAUCGCCUUUGGAUGGGGCCGUGUUGGAUUAGUUAGUUGGUAGUGGAAAAGCCUACCAAGGCGACGAUCCAUAGCUGGUCGGAGAGGAUGAUCAUUCACAAUGGGAAUGAGGCACGGACCCGACUGCUACGGGAGGCAGCAGAGGGGAACAUUGGACGAUGAGGCAAAGCGUGAUAAAGCCGUGCGGGGUGAGAGAUGCAGCCGUUAGGGUUGUACAGCUGUCUGAGACGAGAUGAUAAUGACAGUAACGGGAGAAUAAGCUCCGGCUAACUACGUG